AUUGAACGCUAGCGGGAUGCCUUACACAUGCAAGUCGAACGGAGUGGCGAACGGGUGAGUAAUGUAUAGGAAUGUGCCCAGUAGCGGUGGAUAACUACGAGAAAGCGUAGCUAAGACCGCAUACGAUUGGAGCGGGCGAUAUCGGAUGAGCUAGUGGGUGGGGUAACGGCUUACCAAGGCGACGAUCCGUAGCUGGUUUGAGAGGAAGACCAGCCACACUGGGACUGAGACACGGCCCAGACUCCUACGGGCGGCAGCCGUGGGGAAUUUUGGACAAUGGGGUAAACCCUGCGCCAGCCAUCCCGCGGGUGCUAUGAAGGCCUUCGGGUUGUAACGCACUGUUGGCGGGAAAGCGGUACCUGCAGAAUAAGCACCGGCUAACUACGUGCCAGCAGCCGCGGUAAUAC
rnacentral:rRNA from 1 species